rnacentral:rRNA from 1 species
UACAGAGGGUGCAAGCGUUGUUCGGAAUUAUUGGGCGUAAAGCGCGUGUAGGCGGCCUUGCAAGUCGGGUGUGAAAGCCCUCAGCUCAACUGAGGAAGCGCGCCCGAAACUGCAGAGCUUGAGUACCGGAGAGGAUGGCGGAAUUCCCCAAGUAGAGGUGAAAUUCGUAGAUAUGGGGAGGAACACCAGCGGCGAAGGCGGCGCUCUGGGCCGGUACUGACGCUGAGGAGCGAAAGCGUGGGGAGCAAACAGG